AGCAGUAGCCGCGGUAAAACGGAGGGUGCAAGCGUUAAUCGGAAUUACUGGGCGUAAAGCGUGCGUAGGCGGUUCGUUAAGUCUGUUGUGAAAGCCCCGGGCUCAACCUGGGAAUGGCAAUGGAUACUGGCGAGCUAGAGUGUGUCAGAGGAAGGUGGAAUUCCCGGUGUAGCGGUGAAAUGCGUAGAGAUCGGGAGGAACAUCAGUGGCGAAGGCGGCCAUCUGGGACAACACUGACGCUGAGGCACGAAAGCGUGGGGAGCAAACAGGAUUAGAUACCCGAGUAGUCCCUGUCUCUUAUAC
rnacentral:rRNA from 1 species